UGCCCAGCAACUCCUAUCUCUUCCUCCUCGCGGUACCGGCCGGAAACUAUGAGCAACCUUAGGGAAGAUCGGGUAAAUCAACCCCGGUGGGAACUUUGGUCGUAGGCUGACAGGGAAGG
rnacentral:ribozyme from 1 species